AUUACCCUAUGCACAUACAUAUGUUUGCACAAACCAUGUGACUCUGCAUCGUGUACAGUCAGAGAAAUGAGCAGCUGUGCUCCAUUUGUAUACAGUGAGUUAAAAUGCAUUCUGCUGUCAUGUGUAACUAAUUAGAACAAAAAAAGAAUUUGAAUACAGAAAUAAGGAAUACAUUGUAAGAAGAAGAAUGAAUCUAAAAAUUGGUGGUGACCAUGGGGGGGGAGGGGAGAAAUUAUGGCAUUUGCCAGUAAAUGGAUGGAGUUGGAGAAUAUCAUGCUAAGUGAAAUAAGCCAAUCCCAAAGAACUAAAGGCUUAAUAUUUUCUCUGACUUGCAAAUGCUAACUCACAAUAAGGUGGGGGCUAGGGAAGAAUAGAGUUACUUUGGAUUAGACAGAGGAAGGGGAAGGGGAAAGGGAAGGGGGGGUAGGAAGAAUAAUCGAAUAAAUCAGACAUUAUUACCCUAUGUGCAUAUAUGACUACAUGACCAGUGUGACUCUACAUCAUGUACAACCAGAGAAUGAGAAGUUAAACUCCAUUAUGUAUGAUGUGUCAAAGUGCAUGCUACUGUCAUGUAUAACUAAUUAGAAUAAAUAAAUUUUUUAUAAAAGCAUGUACUGCUCUGUGAGAUAUAAUAAUCUUUGGAGAAAACAGUUUUAAAAAGUCGUCUAUCCUAUGCUUCUAUAUGAAGCUCUUGCCUCCUCCUAGAGCUUGUCAGAGAAACAAACAAGCACCCGUCUUACAUCAGGUUGUGCUCAAUCAUGAGAACUAGUUAAAACAGAGAAACAGCUAACAGGAUGUUGAGUGAGGAACUUUUCUAAAAAAAAAAAGAGGAAACAGAUAACUUGUUAUUAGGAAAGUUUGUAAGGAUUUCACAUACACACUCCAGAGAGACCUGAGACAGUAUGUAAAGUAGAAUCUCAUCUGGUUAAAAUGUUACCAUGUUGUGGAUCUAGUUUGCGGUGGGCUGUCUGUGUUGUUCUUGCUGCCCCUUAUCCAUGUCUAUAGCAACAGAAAAUGGACUAUGACAAAACUGUGUUGCAAAAUGCUAUUGGCAGUUAACUCUUUUUUUUGUUUGUUUGUUUUAAUUAGUUACACAUGACAGUACAAUGACCUUGACAUUCCAUACAUUUGAAUCAGAUGGGAUAUAAUAUCUCAUUUUUCUGAGUGUACAGGUUACAGAAUCACAUUGAUCAUGCAUUCACAUAUAUAUACACAGUAAUAAUAAUGUCUGUUUCAUUCUACUAUCCUUCCUAGCUCCCCAACCCCUCCCCUCCCCUCCCAUCACUUCUCUCUACCUAAUCUAGGGUAAUGAAUAGCAGUUAACUGUAUCCAGAGAUUAUAGGUAAGUUUUGGUUCAUCCUUCUUAGCAUUUUUACAUGCUGUUUAUAAUGAGUACAUAUGUCUGUGACAUAAAGAAUGAUAAAAAAUACACUAUUACUUUGAAAAACUAAUUUUUUAGAAGUGAUCUUACCAAGUACAAUGGCACACUCCUAUAAUCCCAGUGGCUGAGGAGGCUGAGACAGGAGGAUGUGAGUUCAAAGCCAGCCUCAGUAAAAGUGAGGUGCUAAGCAACUCAGUGAGACCCUGUCUCUAAAUAAAAUACAAAAUAGGGCUGGGGAUGUGGCUCAGUGGUCAAAUGCCCCUGAGUUCAAUUCCCAGUACCCCUCCCCACCCCGCCAACAAGAAAAAGUGAUCUCUUCAUUCUCAGAUUUGCUGCUAUAAUUACUGUUUGGGCAAUAAUUCACCAAACAAUCAUGAAAUUGAAUUUUAGGUUCCCACUGUUAUUUGACUAUGGGAAUAGAACAUGAAAUGGGAUUUUUUUUUUGUAUCAUCCACUAUUUACUAAGCCUAUUUAUUACUGGAAUAUAGAAUGGAGUCUUCAGGUAUAUUUACUGACAUUAAUUGAAUCCCUGUUUCAUAUUAAUCAGAAAGGCAGAGUAAAGAAACAACAGCAAGGAGAGGCCCCAGCUACAGCAAUAUCCAAAAUGAGUUAAUUGAAAACCCAACGCGGAAGCACUUGGUGCCCACUUGGGUCUGCUUCCUCCAUACAUCAACAGUGGGAAUUCCUGUGGUCACACCACGAUUCUUGGCUUCAGUGUCCAAUUUCAGCCUUACCCAGAUUCAUUUAAAUAAUACAAAUACUACAAACCAGAGAAUCAAGCAACUCCUGGGAAUUUAGAAUACCAAUUAAAAUUCCUGUUAGAGGACUAAUUUGGAAAUAAAACUAUUUUAAAGACUAGUUAGGCAAAUAACAUGCAAAACUUGCAGAAGCAAAAAGAGGUCAGAUGUGAAAGAGGUCAUCCUCAACUAAGUUCCUUACAGUUAAUUUUUUACACAGUAUGGCCAAGAAACCUGAAAUUGUUCAUCUUCCACUCAGUUGAUAAAAAAUGUAAAGGAAACCAGCUACAUAGUACAGCUUUCUUUGAUUUUUUUUUUAAAGACUCCAUGUAAAGUUUUAAGAGAGAGAUGAUACAGAACAAAAUAGUCCAUAAUGAAAAUAAGUCCAGUGCUAAAUUAGAAAACUGAAGCAAGCCUGCUUCUGCCUUCAAGUUCAAGGUAACCGGGGCCACAGGGCUCCUCUGCAGAGCGCUGCCACGCAUGGUAAAGCUCAGUGGCUCUGACAAGGAUCUGAACGUGGGGCUCUGAAUUCUGCCCACACUCUAAGAUGAGAGCUGGGAAGAAGCAGGGGGAGUGUGGCCAGGCUUAAAGGAGCUUGAAUCACUUAGGUAAUUGGACCAGCAGAUGGCAAAUGCAGUUCAUCCUGGAAGACUGAAAUAAUUAGUCUGGGAGAGAGAAGCUAAUCUAGUAAUAAUGAUCUUCCACUUAUGUAGCAUUAUUUUUUACAAAGCACCUUUCACCAAGAGGCCUCUUAAGGCCUUCUGCAACAUGCCUGCAUGCGUGGUGUGUUAAGGUGUCAGCCGCCAGGCGAGAAGCACCCUCCAGGGAGCCUGCAUCCCAAACACUCUGGCCCCGGGGAGGAAGAAGGCAAAAGGGAGGAGGAACCCCAAAGUGGUUCUCCAAAUAGAAGUACCUUGCAGACACUCAGGUGUGGGAACUAAACCAGCAGGCUAUUUAUCAGAGUUUGAUGACUCAUAAAGCAUUAGAAUGUCAUUUGCUUGGGGUAUCAUGAAAAGCACGGGUCAAGCAGAUUUGGAGGUUUAUCUCUAAACAAAGGCUAGAAGAGUUUAGUGUUAUCUUCCUAAAGUGAUGAAGACACAAACUUUUUUUUUUUUAACUUUCAGUUGGCCAAAUGAAACUUUUCAGUUUUGUAGCCAAACUUUGGUAAAUAAUUCCCAGGGUUAAACAGAUACCCCAGCGCGCAGGGCUCCAGGACUGCCCUGUAGCAGACUGCAUGGGUUGGCCUCCUUGAUAGCCAGCUGUCACCUUUUCCUCUCUUCCUAGGACUCAGUCCAAGCAGAGGGUGUUGGAGGGAGUUGUGAGGGGGCUGGGGCUAAUGUACUCCUGCCCCAGGCCCUCCUCCCAGCCCCCUCGAGGAGACAAGCACAGGGGCUCUGAACCAUUUGACAGGCCAGAUCGUCCCUACUUCUAAAACCCACCGAAGUCUCCGGAAGAACAAGCUUGGCUUAUCGAGAGUCCAGGUGGGUAGAUUGCUUGAGUAAGACUGUUAUACAAUCGGACGCCCAGAGAGCAGAGAAGAUGGAACCACCUUGCACAAUUUGGAGGCACUUUAACUUCAAGUUCCAAAAGUUUGUUGUCAGGAAUGAAAAUCUUGGUCUUAUAACCAAGGCAAAGCUUCACCCCAGUCAACUGUCCCAAGAAGAGCAGGUGGGAGAGAGGCCCAUCCCACCUAUGAGUCACAGCACUGUGAGAACAAGGGAAGAGGAGGACCCCAGAGGGAGGGAGGAAGGUGUGAGGAAGGGGGCAGGGAUUCCUGAUUCCAUCCCCCACCCCACCACCACCAAGAGCCUUCUUAUGGCUAAAAGGUGCUGGAAGGUGGAAUCCAGGGCAGUUCCUCACCCACCUCACAAGUGAAGUGGUCUUGGAGAACUUCUGAACCCUCAGUGGCAGGCAGGUAGCAACCUCGGGCUGCAUCAUGUGAAUUCCAGACUGUCUACUGUCUGCCCCCCUUGGCCCCCUUCCUCACUGGGCCAUUCCACCAUCCAGUAUCACAUUUCCAGGGAGAGAGACAUUGACAAAUGGGAUCCACUGUGUGACCUAUUUGGUGAGUCCACUGAAACCAAGUCAUCUGAAGAGUACUUUGAGGAAUUGGUUAUUUAUCUUUAAAAGUACUUUGAGGUUAUUUAUCUUUAAAAGUAGAAAACUUAAAGUGUUUUAAAGUAUGAUCAUGCGUAAGAGAGACUCCUCUUAUUCUACUUCUAUAACUCUAGAACAAUCCCAAUGGAGAUAUAAUAUGAAAUAUACAUAUAUAUUAUUUAGCUUUUCUAGGACCCAUAUUUUAAAAAGAGAAACUGGUGGAAUUUGUAUUAAUGAUGUACUUUAUUAAUUCAAUGUAUCUAAAAUGUUAUCAUUCCAACAUACAAUCAAUUUUUUAAAGUUAUUGACAUGUUUGGUAUUUUUUUCUUACUAAGUCUUUGAAAUCCAGCCAGUAGUCUACAUAAUUCCCACCGGCCGCACCUCAGGUGCUCGGAAGCCAUGCUGAUCAGCGCAGCUCUGAAGGGUAAAUCAGGCUGUGGUGUCCUGGAACUGGCCUAGUGUCCUGCAUGACCUGAGGUUCUUCUUUCCCUGAAUUGCUGUAAGCCAGGAGGGUUUGCUGAUGAGGACUGGUUUUCACCUGGGUAAAUAUUUCUUCACAGCACGUGGCUCUUGUCCAUGACUUCUAACAACAAGGGACCUUUUCCCAUGGCCCUGUCUCCUUGUCACCUACCCCUUCCUUCUACCUGUGGCAGAUGUUCAUGCCUCUGCCCAGCUCUGCUCACCCACUCCUCUGUCACCUUCUAAAUAGGCACUGAAAAGUGGUGACACACUACUGCCCACCAAAGGCAGCUGACACCACCGUUCAACAGCUGUCAAGCACAGGGAAUCAGUCAUCGGGCGUCCGCAUCACAUUAAUGCCCUGUCUUACAGUUGCUGGUGGUGAUACUGGUGUCAUGGUUUUAACAAAUACAGCUACAUAGAUGAUCACGAAAACCAUGCCCUCCAAGACCUGCUCAUCUCUCUCUCAUUCCAAAAAUAUUCUUUAUCGUGUAUUUUGUUCCAGAGAAGCCGUACGGUGUCUUCCCCAAAGAGCACCCCACCAAGAGAAGUCCAAAGCUGGCAACAGGACUCAGAGGUUCCUGGUAAAAACCAACAUCAUGUUGACACAGGCAUCUUAGAGGAUCUAGGGAACUGCACAUAUUUGGCUUGUAGCCCCACAAUAGAGCCUUUCACAGAAGGCGAUAUCGUCAUGCAUUAUGUUGUAACAAGAAGCUAGUAAACGGUCCUCACCGGGGGAUGCUCCCAUUGUCUUUGUUUGCCACCAAGUGAUGCUGGCAAGCAAAAGUUCCUAAGCGUUCCUUUCAGAAAGAAACUAAGAUGCACAUAGUAGGUCUCUCAGCAUGUCUUCAUCGAGUGCCGGAUUAAGUCUUUUUUAAACAUUCUUGCAAAAGGGAUGAGAGAGGGGAAGAGAGUGCUAGAAUAAUCUGUGACGCCAAAUGCUGUCAUUUCCAUGUGCUGGCUUCACUGAAGCUCUGCACACGGAGAAGGACCAGGCAUGCUCAGGUGUGACCUCUGCAAGCUGUCUCCACAGGCACCGGGAGGGGCCUGAGGAGUACAGACUCUUUUUUAAGACAUUAUUUAAGGUUCUCCUCAACUGUCCACACCACACAUUGAUUUUCUGUCACGGCUCUGUGUCUGGAGGCCUGGCACUCUCCAUUGAUCCACAGAAAGCAUUUUUAGUGCAUCAAAGAGGAGCAGAGGAAGGGCUCAGAGGGAGAGACGGGAAUCACGCUUUUAGGCUGGACACGGCUCCGCAGUGUAAAAGUCACAUAAAAUAUUAAGCUGAACCUGAGUUUUUUUUUAAUGUUCUAAAAUCUGUUGACAUAUGAGACUCAAUGGGACACAAAAAAGGGAAAGGAUUAAUACCACUUUUAAUGGAAAAUUUUCCCCUGGCAGAAUGGAAGCAAGCCCUAGGACCUGGGAAGCCAAACCCUGCAUUUAUCUUUCCGUGGAGAGCUCAAGGUUGUAAAUCACAGGGGUCUAGGCUGAGAAGUUCAAUCAGUCAAGAUGCAGUGGUAAUGGGUCAAGGUCAUGAGUCAAUCCAAGGACAGGCCAAUUGGCUGUGCUCCACAGUCAAAGGCUAUGCCACACACCUGAUGAUAAAAUGCAAGCUCUUCCCAGGAGCAAGGGGCUGACUUCCUGGAGCCGUCACAAAUGAGGACAAAACUGCUAUGGAGACAGAGCUACCCACCAUCCAGGGCCACAGCACAAGGGUGUAGUAAGUAGCAGGCACAGGUGACACUCACCUGUGCUGCAAGGUUAGACCCAGUUGCACCAUCUGUGUCAGCUCAAUUGCUAGAACAAAAUACCAUAGGCUGGGGACCACAGAAAUUGGUUUUCCCAUAGCUCUGGAGGCUGAAGGUCCGGAUAGGAGUGCCAGCAGAGCAGGGGUCUGGAGAGGGCUCUCUUCCUGGCUGGCAGAUGGCCUUCUGCAGUGCACGGAGAGAUGGGGACACCUUCCUUUCCCUGCAAGACCCCCAGUUCUUGCAGAUUUGAUCCUGCCCUAGGAUCCAACCCUAAUUAUUGCCUCCCAUUCUCAUCUCCAGAAUGCACCCAGGGAGACACCGCACGUGCACAACACGCCUUCCACACGCAACCUGCCAAGCCUCCCCUUGGAGUCUCCACUCCAAAAAGUAAUAACAACAAAGAAUGGAAACGAGAUGUCUCUCCUCCUGAGUGAGACAGCCGAGAAACCCUUUAUUCAAAUCUUUCUCUGGAAACCAGUGGAGUUGAAUGUGUAAAUGAAUAAUAAAAAGAAGCCCCACACACACUCAAGUGGUCAGCUAACUCAACAAGACAAUUUUUUUCUUAGGAGUCUGCAGAUCUGAGCUUCUACCCUGGUGACUGUCACAGUGCCUGCCACUUAACAGAACCUCCAUGUCCAUUGAACAAAUGAACGAUGAAUAUUUUCCAAUGAUGGAAGAUUCAUUAAAAUUAAAAUCAGAAAUGGCCUCAUUCAGGCUUAUUUAAGCAAGAGUUGACUUUAAAUGACUUCUAUUUUAAAAUCAGGAUUUCAAAGUAUAAAACUAUAGCAUUUCAAACACAGAUAAUUACAUUUCUUAUCAAAUACAUGGGUUCUUGUAAAAUAAUUCAGAGUAAUAUAUACCCAAUUUAAUUAAAAUUUGGAAGUGGUUGUGGACCAAAUCAAGUGUAUCUUAAUUAAAUCACAACAUGGCUCACAGAUGUUAAGGUCGACCCCAAUUUUAAUAAAGGAGACUCAAAUACAAUCAGUAGGGACUUAGCUGACUAAUUUUGGUCAGGUGGAAAGAAAGAUGAAUGGGAUGACAGGAAGGUCCCUUCUACUCAAGAAUGGAGAGUAAAGUGACCCACAGAGCAGGGCAGGCAGAAGGACAGUGGCCUGCCCAGCCAGCCACUGGGGUGGAAAUAGGAACCUCGCGUAGGAAUGCUCAAGUCACUCAGGGAGCAGUACACUUGCGCUGGGUGAGGAGGGAGGGGCACUUCCCCAGCAGUCCACACGUCAGGGGAGGUCAGUUUGCCAAACCAAUCAGGAGACAGGGCAGUCCUACAAGCCACAAAGGGGACUGGAGGAUUCCACAGAUACGGUUGCCAGGUAAAAUGCAGGGUGCCCAGUGAGAUGGGGAUUUCAGAUAAACGACAAAUUUUUCACUAUACGAUGCUCUGUGCGAUGUGCAACCCUGUGUUUUUGUUUUGUUUUCCUGAAUGUGGAGCCUCUGCUUGAGCUCAAGGCUGUGUACCAAAAGGCUUGUCAGGGAGCUUCCAAUUUCCAGUAGAAAUCACCUUUGUUGAAGGAUUGUCAUCAGCAGCAUCUCCACAAGCCAGGAGACCCUGUGGGCAGGUGCAGACACUGAGGCCCUGGGCAGUGAAGCAACUUUUCCAAGGUUUGCCUGGGUCUCAUGGCAGAGCUCGGACUGUUGCUCUGCUAUUACAGGUCACCUUCCCAUGGUUUUUUUAGUACAAAAUAACGUUUUUUUAAAAGUGCUACUGAAACUCAGGGGGAAAAAAAAAAUCUCUUCCAAUAUAGAUGUUCAGGAAAGAUUUGGGUAGGUUAAGCCGUCAUUCAUUCAAUCAACAGCAUUUCAACAUUGCCAACUCCAGGCCUGGCACUGUUGGAGAUGCUUGGCCCACAGAUGUAACACCUUGUACAAUAGACUGACCACAUGAUCACCACACUCUCCCCAAUGUCCUGGUGAGGGUAACCAGGCUAUAUUUCCCAGCCUGCCUUGUGAGUAUGUGGCCAUGUGACUGAGCAAUAGCCAAGGGAUGAGGGCAGCAAUGAUACCAUAUAUUCCAGGCCAAUCAAGUCUAUUGAAAACUUUCCGUAUUAGUCAGAUUCUACAGAAGAAGAUGGGGGUGGGGGAGAGAGAGAGAGAGAGACUGAGACUGGAAGGCACUGGUUUAUGUGAUUAGGGAGGCUGAGUCUCACUAUCUGCAAUCUGCAAGCUGGAGACCUGAGCCAGAGAGCUGAUGCUGGAGUUUCCAGUCUGACUCUGAAGACCUGAAGAUCAGGAGCACUAAACCCAGAAGACUGAUUUCCAGCUCAGGCAGUCAGAGAGAGAGAGAGAGAGAGACUUCAGCCUUCCUCCCCUCUCUGUUCUACUCAGGUCCUCCUUAGAUUGGAUGAUGCCAUCUAUAGGGGGAGAAACCUCUGCUUUACUUGUUCUAUUAAUUCAAAUGCUAGACUGUUCUGGACACACCCUCAGAGGAACAAAGAGAGGAAGGUUGAAAGCUGAUGCUCGAGGCCCUGGCUUCACCCACUGGGUGAGUGUGGGCAUUGUUCACUGAGAAUGCACAGGGGGGACAAAAUCAGAGGAGAAGGUGGCACUUCUGAGAUGCCCAUGAGCCAGCAGACCAGACAUGCCAAGUGGGCGGCUGGAUGUGGGAACCUCAUGUUCACAGAAAACAUGUAGACCAGAGAUUUGCACAUGGGAAACAAGAAUUCAAAUCCGAUCUCCCAGGAACAGAACUAGAGAGGAACCCAGAGUGAGCCCUGGGGCCUCAAAUGUUCAUAAGUUGGGGAGAACUGCUAAAGAAACCAGCAACAUGGGGCUGGGGCUGGGGCUCAGAAAUGGAGCACUCGCCUAGCACACACGAAGCUCUCGGUUCGAUCCUCAGCAUCACAUAAAAAUAAAUAAAUAAAUAAAAUAAAGGUAUUGUGUCCAACUACAACUAAAAAAUAAGUAUUAAAAAGAAAAGAAACGAAACCAGCAAUAGACAAAAGAAGAAAAGGACAGACCAGGAGAAAUCCUGGAUUGUGAUAUUCUAAAAGAGGGAAUGUCUUCCCAAAGAAGAGGGUCAUCGGGUGUCCCAAUUAGAGAGAAGUCAUAAACUCCAGAAACCACAGCAGAAUCUGCUGUUGACGUGACUGCUCCUUUGCCAGCACUGCUCACCAUGCCUGGCUUCCACCGGAGGAAUAUGAGCAGCUCCAAUUCCACAGAGACCUGAGACUAAGGAGAGGGAGGUGUGAGAAGCACCACAUUGCGUGUGCUUGGAGGUGUGUUACCUGCUUAGUGAUCUACAUGUUUGUCCAUGAUGGCAACUGGAUGACUACUGCAGAAACAGCUCAUCCUUACAGAACAGUCUGGGUAUGUGUACAUGCUACUGCCUAGGAAACAGGCAUUGCCUUUGAACUGUAGGUGGCUGGGCAGCAGGAUUCUAGCUGACUGUGAAUUUCUGAAUUAUCCAAAUGUCCUUCUCUGUACUGGGAUUAUUGUUCAAAAUAAACAGUAUUUCUUAAAGAAUGAACAAUAAAGUUAAACAAAAUCAUUGAGACUUUCUGCAUUGCAUUGCUGUCACAGUGGAGAACGUGAAUGCCGAGGGGCCUCCCAGCAGGGUGCAAAGUGAAGAGCAACCCAGGUCUCCAUCUCUCCAUCCUGAGUCAUGUCCAGGACUCAGGCCCAGGGCCUCAGGCAGAGAGCACCCAGCUCUUUCCGGUCAGAGUCAGCUCCCUGGGAUACCCUCCAGCCCAGGACACUGCACACUCCCUUCUCCAAGCUCCAGCUUUGAAGGAUGAAGUUUUCCAGAAUCAGGACACUUGGAGAAUUCUAUCAAAUUGUCAGAGGUCCAGAGUGUCAUUCUGCAUCCGUUUGUGAAUAGAGGAUUCCAGAAAACCUCACCUCCCAUCCUCUCGGAGGACAUGGGCCCCCUCCAGCCUCAGUCAAGACUCAGGGUUGGGGGCUGGGGAUGUGGCUCAAGCAGUAGCGCGCUCGUCUGGCAUGCGUGCGGCCCGGGUUCGAUCCUCAGCACCACAUACCAACAAAGAUGUUGUGUCUGCUGAAAACUAAAAAAAUUUAAAAAAAAAAAGACUCAGGGUUGGAUUCAUCUGAACUCUGCCCAAUCUGCAGAUUGUUUGGUGUGGUAGGCUCAAGAAUGGCCUGUGUCAUACAUAGGUCAAAAGGACACUGAAGAUGUAAUUAAGGGUCUUGAAACAGGGAGACUACCAGGUAGGCCCAAUUUUGUAAGAACAAGUGUCCUUAUAAGAUGGGAAAUGCUUUCACAGAAGAGGAAAGAGCCAUGGGACCAUGGCUGCAGUUUGGAAUGGGCAGCCAGACCUGGAAGGUCAGGGAACAGAUCCCAGCCGGAGCCUCUAGAGGAACCAGCCCUGCUGACACCUUGAUUUUAGCUUGGAGACACACAAUUUAGCUUUCCGUCAUCCAGAGUUUCAUCUGCAAGAUCAGAAUUAGACGUGUCUUCUCUGCAGGGCGGCAGCAAAAUCAGCUCAUUACAUCUAUGCUGCUUUCCACAGUUUGUAACUAGCCUGGGGCUUGUGCACAGCCUGAGAUGGGAGUUCAAACACCUUGGAGCCACGGAGAGAGCAGAC
rnacentral:lncRNA from 1 species